rnacentral:rRNA from 1 species
UACGAAGGGGGCUAGCGUUGCUCGGAAUUACUGGGCGUAAAGCGCACGUAGGCGGCUUUGUAAGUUAGAGGUGAAAGCCUGGAGCUCAACUCCAGAAUUGCCUUUAAGACUGCAGCUCUUGAAUCCAGGAGAGGUGAGUGGAAUUCCGAGUGUAGAGGUGAAAUUCGUAGAUAUUCGGAAGAACACCAGUGGCGAAGGCGGCUCACUGGACUGGUAUUGACGCUGAGGUGCGAAAGCGUGGGGAGCAAACAGG